CCUACCUCACCCGGCCGCAUGGCUUCCCUCCCCCAGCCAGCCCCAGCUGGGCUGGGGAGCUCUGAGCUCCUCCACUGACUGGGACCAAGAGAGAGUUCUCCUGGCAGUUCUUGCUUUUAACCCCCUGUGUUCUCAGAGGCGGUCCACACCUUCAGUGGCCAAACCAGGUGCCAAUAUUCCAAUCCAAGCACUGAUUGGUUUGACCACAACCUCCCAAAAAACUCACUUCCUUCUUAACCUAUGACAGGUUGGGAGAAAAUUUGCCCUGGUAUCAUUUUGUCACAGUACGUACCAUUUGUAAAGUAACCCCAAAACCACAUAGUUAGCAUGUGAUAGCUCUGAAUCCAUGUGUCUGCCUUGCAGUGGAAGUUAAAGAUCCAUUAAAUCCUCACCUUAUUAACCAUAAAGCAAACUGGAUAACAGCCACAGCAGCCUUAGCUAUGGUUAGCCUGUGUUCCCAGGGAUGUCGGGGUGUUCCUGAUGGGGCAGAAGGAAGAGCUCCAGGCCCUCUGUGAGGCCCCUCAAGCCCUGAGUGAAAACAACAGCCCCUCCCACAUAAGCAUAUUUGUUCAGGUGAUGUUGGAGGGAAGAGCUGCAGAACUACUUUCAUCUGCUGGCUCAGAAGAGCCUGUGUCUCUUUAAGACCUCCAGAUCCCUUGGAAGGUGAGACCACCUGGAGACCAGAGGAGACCAGCUGGAGCUCCAGGCACAGCUGAUGACUGGCACAGCUGAGCCUGUGGGAAGCUCCCAUAGCUCCUGCCUUCUCCCUCCCUGCUGACAGCUGCCUCCCUCCAGCCCUCAGACCCUGCCCAUCCCCUUUCUUCCCUCCCAGCUCAUCCCUUUGCUUCACCUUCCAUUAAUAAACAGUUUGGCUUCCUCGCUUUGCCUUCAUCUCUGUGGAACUGAUGCGAUGCAAAUCCAGAGCCCUGGGACACACAGGCCCCUCCUGCUGUUCUCUUCCACGCCGUGUUUUGUGCACAGACACAGAGGAACGAGGGCAGAUCAGGCUGGAAAGAUCCCUGUGCUGAAGGUCCAGUUCCACAACACUGUGCAGUUACAGAUCUUGCUGAGCACCCUGGAGCCCCUGGACUUUGGAAGAGCCAACCUGAGGAUGCUCUGAACCCAGCUGUGAGGGAUUCCAUGGCAAGCAUCCACAGAGGGCAAAGGAGCUUGGAAAUGCUGGAUGGUUUCAAGAGCAGCUUGCUGAAAGCACAGCAGUGCUCCAUCCCUGCACAGGAUCAGGAAGAGGGCAGAACCAGAGACCAUCUGGGCUUAACAGAGAACUUUGGGUGUGCCUAAGGGCAAAUGAAGCAGCAGCACAGUGCCCGAGACUCAGAAGCACGACCGUGCCAGUGCACAGAGCGCUGUCAGUGCUGGGAUCCUGGAUGUGGUUCUGGUUCCCACAACCAGGGAAUGGCAGCCCCAGCCUCAGACCCAGUCAGAAAGCCAAGCAAGUGAGACCAGAGGGAGGGCACCUUUUCAGUUUCUCUGGGGCAUGGCCACCAAACAACCCCUGCUGCUUCUUCCUCCGCCUGUGUUUGUGGUGUGCUGCUGGCAGAGCCAGCCAGGUUGUGCUCUGUGUUCCAAAGCCUGUUGGGUGCAGGCAUGAAAAGCACUGUGUGCGCAGUGGAGAUUCCUGGAAGGUGCUGGCAAGAGCAUCCUGCAGGGACAGGGCUCUGGUGUCUGGCUGGAAAAGCCUGGUUUUGCUGCUGUGAUCACAGGCAAGAGUUGAAGGAGGUGAAGAGGCAGAGAGCAGCCUGUGUUUGUAGAGGGCCUGGGGCUGUAUGCCUGAACCUCCACCUGGAAACUGACUUGGGGAAUACGAGCUAGAGCUGGAGUGCCUGUCCUGAAAGGACCUGAAGUCAUUCAGCCUUGCCAGCUUUUCUUAAGGGUGUGUUGCUGUUCCCCAGGAAAGCUACGCAUUUGGGGAAAUGCCUUUGGAGGAAAGGGGCUUGCUUCUCAAGGAAAAUGCUUCUCAGGGAGCUCUCAGUGAGGUAGGUAAAAGUGUCCCCUUUGGCUCUCUGUGCUCCUUUCAGUCCUUGAGGACUGUUGCACUUGGCAGAGGGGCAGGGCAAGGGAGAAGGCAGUGAAUAGCGGGUUUGGCAUCUGCCUGGACCUGUGGAGACCAACCCAAGCACCUGCAGCAGGGUGUCUUCCCCCACUUUGGACAGAGGUGUGAGCAGGAGAAUCUCUGUCCAGCCACAAGCUCCAAAACUCUCUUUGAGAGCUGUGAAUUAAAAGGUCUUUAUGCA